rnacentral:rRNA from 1 species
UAGGGAAUUGUUCGCAAUGGGCGCAAGCCUGACGACGCAACGCCGCGUGGAGGAUGAAGACUUUCGGGUCGUAAACUCCUUUCGACAGAGAUGAACACCUCUCGACCUAAUACGUUGAGGGGCUGACAGUAUCUAGGGAAGAAGCCCCGGCUAACUCCGUGCCAGCAGCCGCGGUAAUACGGGGGGGGCAAGCGUUGUUCGGAAUUACUGGGCGUAAAGGGUUCGUAGGUGGCCAACUAAGUCAGACGUGAAAUCCCUCAGCUUAACUGGGGAACUGCGUCUGAUACUGGUCGGCUUGAGUGCAGGAGAGGAACGCGGAAUUCCAGGUGUAGCGGUGAAAUGCGUAGAUAUCUGGAGGAACACCGGUGGCGAAGGCGGCGUUCUGGACUGCAACUGACACUGAGGAACGAAAGCCAGGGGAGCAAACGGGAUUAGAUACCCCCGUAGUCC